rnacentral:misc_RNA from 1 species
CCAAUAGCGUAUAUUAAAGUUGCUGCAGUUAAAAAGCUCGUAGUUGAAUUUCGGGACUAAUAUGUUGGUCGUGCCUCGGUACGUACUGAUAUUUUUGGUUUCUCCCUUCUGACGAACCUUGAUGUCAUUAAUUUGGUGUCUUGGGAAAUCAGGACUGUUACUUUGAAAAAAUUAGAGUGUUUAAAGCAGGCUCACGCUUGAAUACAUUAGCAUGGAAUAAUGAAAUAGGACGUUUGAUUCUAUUUUGUUGGUUUCUAGGAUUGACGUAAUGAUUAAUAGGGAUAGUUGGGGGUAUUAGUAUUCAAUUGUCAGAGGGGAAAUUCUUGGAUUUAUUGAAGACUAACUACUGCGAAAGCAUUUGCCAAGGAUGUUUUCAUUAAUCAAGAACGAAAGUUAGGGGAUCGAAGACGAUCAGAUACCGUCGUAGUCUUAACCAUAAACUAUGCCGACUAGGGAUCGGGUGAUGUUAAUUUUUUAAUGACUCAUUCGGCGCCUUACG